rnacentral:tRNA from 1 species
GGUGGCUCAAUGGUAGAGCUCUUGCCUUGCAUGCAUGAGGCCCUGGGUUUGAUUCCUCAGCACCA